GUUGAACGCUGGCGGCAGGCCUAACACAUGCAAGUCGAGCGGAGGAAGGGUGCUUUCUCCUGGAUUCAGAGGCGGACGCGUGAGUGAAGCCUAUAAAUCUGCUAGGUACUGGGACAUAACGUCCGGAAGGGGACGCGAAUAACGCAUGCGUCGGUAAGGAGAAGGUGGGGGCUCAUCGGACAUGGCGCUAUCAGCUGAGGCUUGGUCGGAUUAGCUAGUUGGUGGGGUAAGGGGCUACCAAGCCGACGAUCCGUAAUUGGUCUGAGAUGAUGAACAGUAAAGCUGGAAUGGAGACACGGUCCAGACUCCUACGGGAGGCAGCAGUGGGGAAUAUUGGACAAGGGGCGAAAGCCUGAUCCAGCCAUGCCGCGCGGGUGAAGAAGGUCUUCGGAUUGGAAAGCACUGUAAGUUGGGAGGAAGGGCAGUAAGUUAAUACCUUGCUGUUUUGACGGUACCAACAGAAUAAGCACCGGCUAACUUCGUG
rnacentral:rRNA from 1 species